rnacentral:rRNA from 1 species
UGUGAGGUUAAGCGACUAAGCGUACACGGUGGAUGCCCUGGCAGUCAGAGGCGAUGAAGGACGUGCUAAUCUGCGAUAAGCGUCGGUAAGGUGAUAUGAACCGUUAUAACCGGCGAUUUCCGAAUGGGGAAACCCAGUGUGAUUCGUCACACUAUCAUUAACUGAAUCCAUAGGUUAAUGAGGCGAACCGGGGGAACUGAAACAUCUAAGUACCCCGAGGAAAAGAAAUCAACCGAGAUUCCCCCAGUAGCGGCGAGCGAACGGGGAGCAGCCCAGAGCCUGAAUCAGUGUGUGUGUUAGUGGAAGCGUCUGGAAAGGCGCGCGAUACAGGGUGACAGCCCCGUACACAAAAAUGCACAUGCUGUGAGCUCGAUGAGUAGGGCGGGACACGUGGUAUCCUGUCUGAAUAUGGGGGGACCAUCCUCCAAGGCUAAAUACUCCUGACUGACCGAUAGUGAACCAGUACCGUGAGGGAAAGGCGAAAAGAACCCCGGCGAGGGGAGUGAAAAAGAACCUGAAACCGUGUACGUACAAGCAGUGGGAGCCUCUUUAUGGGGUGACUGCGUACCUUUUGUAUAAUGGGUCAGCGACUUAUAUUCUGUAGCAAGGUUAACCGAAUAGGGGAGCCGAAGGGAAACCGAGUCUUAACUGGGCGUUAAGUUGCAGGGUAUAGACCCGAAACCCGGUGAUCUAGCCAUGGGCAGGUUGAAGGUUGGGUAACACUAACUGGAGGACCGAACCGACUAAUGUUGAAAAAUUAGCGGAUGACUUGUGGCUGGGGGUGAAAGGCCAAUCAAACCGGGAGAUAGCUGGUUCUCCCCGAAAGCUAUUUAGGUAGCGCCUCGUGAAUUCAUCUCCGGGGGUAGAGCACUGUUUCGGCAAGGGGGUCAUCCCGACUUACCAACCCGAUGCAAACUGCGAAUACCGGAGAAUGUUAUCACGGGAGACACACGGCGGGUGCUAACGUCCGUCGUGAAGAGGGAAACAACCCAGACCGCCAGCUAAGGUCCCAAAGUCAUGGUUAAGUGGGAAACGAUGUGGGAAGGCCCAGACAGCCAGGAUGUUGGCUUAGAAGCAGCCAUCAUUUAAAGAAAGCGUAAUAGCUCACUGGUCGAGUCGGCCUGCGCGGAAGAUGUAACGGGGCUAAAUCAUGCACCGAAGCUGCGGCAGCGACGCUUAUGCGUUGUUGGGUAGGGGAGCGUUCUGUAAGCCUGCGAAGGUGUGCUGUGAGGCAUGCUGGAGGUAUCAGAAGUGCGAAUGCUGACAUAAGUAACGAUAAAGCGGGUGAAAAGCCCGCUCGCCGGAAGACCAAGGGUUCCUGUCCAACGUUAAUCGGGGCAGGGUGAGUCGACCCCUAAGGCGAGGCCGAAAGGCGUAGUCGAUGGGAAACAGGUUAAUAUUCCUGUACUUGGUGUUACUGCGAAGGGGGGACGGAGAAGGCUAUGUUGGCCGGGCGACGGUUGUCCCGGUUUAAGCGUGUAGGCUGGUUUUCCAGGCAAAUCCGGAAAAUCAAGGCUGAGGCGUGAUGACGAGGCACUACGGUGCUGAAGCAACAAAUGCCCUGCUUCCAGGAAAAGCCUCUAAGCAUCAGGUAACAUCAAAUCGUACCCCAAACCGACACAGGUGGUCAGGUAGAGAAUACCAAGGCGCUUGAGAGAACUCGGGUGAAGGAACUAGGCAAAAUGGUGCCGUAACUUCGGGAGAAGGCACGCUGAUAUGUAGGUGAAGCGACUUGCUCGUGGAGCUGAAAUCAGUCGAAGAUACCAGCUGGCUGCAACUGUUUAUUAAAAACACAGCACUGUGCAAACACGAAAGUGGACGUAUACGGUGUGACGCCUGCCCGGUGCCGGAAGGUUAAUUGAUGGGGUUAGCGGUAACGCGAAGCUCUUGAUCGAAGCCCCGGUAAACGGCGGCCGUAACUAUAACGGUCCUAAGGUAGCGAAAUUCCUUGUCGGGUAAGUUCCGACCUGCACGAAUGGCGUAAUGAUGGCCAGGCUGUCUCCACCCGAGACUCAGUGAAAUUGAACUCGCUGUGAAGAUGCAGUGUACCCGCGGCAAGACGGAAAGACCCCGUGAACCUUUACUAUAGCUUGACACUGAACAUUGAGCCUUGAUGUGUAGGAUAGGUGGGAGGCUUUGAAGUGUGGACGCCAGUCUGCAUGGAGCCGACCUUGAAAUACCACCCUUUAAUGUUUGAUGUUCUAACGUGGACCCGUGAUCCGGGUUGCGGACAGUGUCUGGUGGGUAGUUUGACUGGGGCGGUCUCCUCCUAAAGAGUAACGGAGGAGCACGAAGGUUGGCUAAUCCUGGUCGGACAUCAGGAGGUUAGUGCAAUGGCAUAAGCCAGCUUGACUGCGAGCGUGACGGCGCGAGCAGGUGCGAAAGCAGGUCAUAGUGAUCCGGUGGUUCUGAAUGGAAGGGCCAUCGCUCAACGGAUAAAAGGUACUCCGGGGAUAACAGGCUGAUACCGCCCAAGAGUUCAUAUCGACGGCGGUGUUUGGCACCUCGAUGUCGGCUCAUCACAUCCUGGGGCUGAAGUAGGUCCCAAGGGUAUGGCUGUUCGCCAUUUAAAGUGGUACGCGAGCUGGGUUUAGAACGUCGUGAGACAGUUCGGUCCCUAUCUGCCGUGGGCGCUGGAGAACUGAGGGGGGCUGCUCCUAGUACGAGAGGACCGGAGUGGACGCAUCACUGGUGUUCGGGUUGUCAUGCCAAUGGCACUGCCCGGUAGCUAAAUGCGGAAGAGAUAAGUGCUGAAAGCAUCUAAGCACGAAACUUGCCCCGAGAUGAGUUCUCCCUGACUCCUUGAGAGUCC